ensembl:lincRNA
GCGACUCGUCCUGUUGGGUCUGAGGGGGUGGUGCCGUCGGAAAGGUCUUGCUUGGUCUCCUCUCUAGCGGGCGGAGAGUUCCAAUGGUCCAGAUUGCCUGGGCAUCCCUGACCCCUCCGGACCACUUCCCUAGAGGGCAUCCUGUGCCCGACUGCUGGGCUGGCAUUUGCAGAGUACAGAUCUAGGCUGUCUGGAUUAUACUACACAUGAAGAGCCUACUGUUUGCAAAAAUUGACUUUUCUUUCCCGCGGCCACGCUGCAAAGGAUGGAGCUCCAGCAGCGAAGCAGCAGUCACUGGUCUAGCUGAAGAGGAAGGAGCCAGGCUCCUGCAUCGUAACCGAGGCAUCUAGCAUCCAGCCAAAGAACUUUUUUGCCUCUGACUAAGGAGCCACUGGUUAUCGGACCCGGCUCAGUUGAAUACCCAUUCGGAUGAAAGAGUGAAGUAUAAAAUAACAAGGUAGCACAAAAAGCUGGGAAGAGGGACUCGAUGAGAUCACGUAGACGCCCCCAGGAUCAGAUCCUAAAUGCCGUCUUCUGAAGAGCGAUAUUGCUACAGGCUUGGACCAGGGAGUGACCUGCAGGUGGAACUUCGAAUAUGCUGCCUCUUCUAGAAGGCCUGCUCAGCGUGUCACCUCUUUAUGUCUUCUAAGGAGAGAAUCCAUUGGUAGAGGAGGGAGGGCUAUGUGAGCCGGGGUAAGGCAAACUGUUACUAAUAGUCCACCUUGUGCCGGUUAUUCAUUAAGCCUCAGUGUAGCCGCAUAAGAUGCUCAGGCACAGCACGUGACUUAAAGUCUGGGUAAGUUGGUUACUUUACCCAGGCCAUCGGUGGUGUUGGUUAUAGAAGGAUCUGAACCCCAUUCCUACAGCUUUAGAAAUGGCUAAACUUGUGAGUGACUAAACUUUGCUUUCUUUCCUUCUUAUGUUUUGUUUGCUUGCUUUGGUUCUGCCCCCCCCAACACCCCGAUAUCUUGGUGUAUCCUGCUUUGUGAAACAACAGAUCUUCAAACACCAGCAUCACAUCCAGAGAGGCCAGAGGGUCCCAAAACAAAACAAGCCGGGGCCAAGAUGCACUCAGAGCUCCUAUCUCACCCUCUUAGGGGUGUGCUCGGGGCACCAGAUGGGCCUUUUUAAAAUGUUAUUCUCUUUCUCCCUUUUUGGUUAAGCAGAGGACUGCAGAGGAAAGCCUCUGAAUCAGAUGUUUGCUCCACACAGUUCAACUGAAAUGUAGGUUGUGAUGAGUGGACACGUGCUCCACAGCUAAGAGACCAACCGAGGGCAUCCUAUCCCACUCGUGGGUCUAAGUAGGGGAGAUUUACAGAAGGCAUACUUACUCUGAAGAUGGAAUGAUAGCUGAAGAGACAGAGUGAUCCCUAGGGCCUGUCAGACACCCAGUUUGGCCUAAUACAGAAAAGCACGGAGGUGAGAAACAACAGGGUGAAUCCAAGGAAAUUCAACAGGAGCAUGUGAGAGGCAGGAGCCAGGGAGAGUUAGACAUGGCCCGAAACUCCGAAGUUCUCCCCUCCACCUGAGGAAUUCUGGUGCUUCAGCACUGGCUCCUGAAGAAUUGGGGAAACCUCCCAGAAGGUUGUCAGCCUCCCUCCGGCAGGAGCUUUACAGAGGUCUGUGGACACUUCAGAGCACCCACACGGACCAGAGAAGUAACUUGUCAUGAGGCUUCCCCCAGGGGGACUUCCUCACCCAAGCGACACAUUAAACUCUGAGUCAAUGAAUGCCAGAGGUUAGGGGUAAAGAUGACAGCACUUCACCUCAAGCUACCUCCUAGUUUUCAUAAAGUUUGGAAUUGAAGCUGUCGAGAUGUAAACUCACCGUAAAGAGCUGGAAGCAGCAGGCAUAUCUGUGGCCCAUGAAAAGGGAGAGGGGGACCAGGAGGGCAUGGGCUCGAGAAGGACGAGGUUGUGUCCAGAGGAAUGGAGCAAUUAAACUUUAAACUAUUGUUUUC